rnacentral:rRNA from 1 species
GACGAACGCUGGCGGCGUGCUUAACACAUGCAAGUCGAACGAAAAGACGGAAAGAGCUUGCUCUUUUCAGAAUUGAGUGGCAAACGGGUGAGUAACACGUAAACAACCUGCCUUCAGGAUGGGGACAACAGACGGAAACGACUGCUAAUACCGAAUAAGUUCCAAGGGCCGCAUGGCCCAUGGAAGAAAAGGUGGCCUCUACCUGUAAGCUAUCGCCUGAAGAGGGGUUUGCGUCUGAUUAGCUGGUUGGAGGGGUAACGGCCCACCAAGGCGACGAUCAGUAGCCGGUCUGAGAGGAUGAACGGCCACACUGGAACUGAGACACGGUCCAGACUCCUACGGGAGGCAGCAGUGGGGAAUCUUCCGCAAUGGGCGAAAGCCUGACGGAGCGACGCCGCGUGAGUGAUGACGGCCUUCGGGUUGUAAAACUCUGUGAUCCGGGACGAAAAGGCAGAGUGCGA